rnacentral:rRNA from 1 species
CGAAGCGUGCGAUUGGAUUGCACGUCUAAGCAGUAAGGCUGAGUAUUAGGCAAAUCCGGUACUCAUUAAGGCUGAGCUGUGAUGGGGAGAAGACAUUGUGUCUUCGAGUCGUUGAUUUCACACUGCCGAGAAAAGCCUCUAGAUAGAAAAUAGGUGCCCGUACCGCAAACCGACACAGGUAGUCAAGAUGAGAAUUCUAAGGUGAGCGAGCGAACUCUCGUUAAGGAACUCGGCAAAAUGACCCCGUAACUUCGGGAGAAGGGGUGCUCUUUAGGGUUAACGCCCAGAAGAGCCGCAGUGAAUAGGCCCAAGCGACUGUUUAUCAAAAACACAGGUCUCUGCUAAACCGUAAGGUGAUGUAUAGGGGCUGACGCCUGCCCGGUGCUGGAAGGUUAAGAGGAGUGGUUAGCUUCUGCGAAGCUACGAAUCGAAGCCCCAGUAAACGGCGGCCGUAACUAUAACGGUCCUAAGGUAGCGAAAUUCCUUGUCGGGUAAGUUCCGACCCGCACGAAAGGCGUAACGAUUUGGGCACUGUCUCAACGAGAGACUCGGUGAAAUCAUAGUA